UCCAUGAUCGCUGAGUGCCCAGGUGGGGUU
rnacentral:sRNA from 1 species